rnacentral:rRNA from 1 species
GACGAACGCUGGCGGCGUGCUUAACACAUGCAAGUCGAACGGAAAGGCCCUGCUUUUGUGGGGUGCUCGAGUGGCGAACGGGUGAGUAACACGUGAGUAACCUGCCCUUGACUUUGGGAUAACUUCAGGAAACUGGGGCUAAUACCGGAUAGGAGCUCCUGCUUCAUGGUGGGGGUUGGAAAGUUUCGGCGGUUGGGGAUGGACUCGCGGCUUAUCAGCUUGUUGGUGGGGUAGUGGCUUACCAAGGCUUUGACGGGUAGCCGGCCUGAGAGGGUGACCGGCCAAAUUGGGACUGAGAUAAGGCCCAGACUACUACGGGAGGCAGCAGUGGGGAAUAUUGCACAAUGGGCGGAGGCCUGAUGCAGCAACGCAGCGUGCGGGAUGACGGCCUUCGGGUUGUAAACCGCUUUCGCCUGUGACGAAGCGUGAGUGACGGUAAUGGGUAAAGAAGCACCGGCUAACUACGUG